rnacentral:rRNA from 1 species
UACGGGGGGAGCAAGCGUUGUUCGGAUUUACUGGGCGUAAAGGGCGCGUAGGCGGCCUCUGCAAGUCGACUGUGAAAUCUCCGGGCUUAACCCGGAAAGGUCAGCCGAUACUGCAGGGCUAGAGUACGGAAGAGGCGAGUGGAAUUCCUGGUGUAGCGGUGAAAUGCGCAGAUAUCAAGGAGGAACACCUAUUGCGAAGGCAGCUCGCUGGGACGUAACUGACGCUGGAGACGCGAAAAGCGUGGGGAGCAAA